UACGGGGGGGGCAAGCGUUGUUCGGAAUUACUGGGCGUAAAGGGCGCGUAGGCGGUUUGCUAAGUUGGAUGUGAAAACUCUGGGCUUAACCCAGAGCCUGCAUUCAAAACUGACAGGCUAGAGCUCUGGAGGGGAUAGCGGAAUUCCUGGUGUAGCGGUGAAAUGCGCAGAUAUCAGGAGGAACACCGGUGGCGAAGGCGGGUCUCUGGGCCGUAACUGACGCUGAGGAGCGAAAGCGUGGGGAGCGAACAGG
rnacentral:rRNA from 1 species